GCAUAUCAAUAAGCGGAGGAAGAGAAACUAACAAGGAUUCCCCUAGUAACUGCGAGUGAAGCGGGAAAAGCUCAAAUUUAAAAUCUGGGGGUCCCUGUGGCCUUCCGAGUUGUAAUCUAGAGAAGUGCUAUCCGCGCUGGACCGUGUACAAGUCUCCUG
rnacentral:rRNA from 1 species